rnacentral:rRNA from 1 species
CGGGGGUGCAAGCGUUAAUCGGAAUUACUGGGCGUAAAGCGAGUGUAGGCGGUUACUUAAGUCGGAUGUGAAAUCCCCGGGCUCAACCUGGGAAUUGCAUUCGAUACUGGGUAGCUAGAGUUUGGUAGAGGUAAGUGGAAUUCCGGGUGUAGCGGUGAAAUGCGUAGAUAUCCGGAGGAACAUCAGUGGCGAAGGCGGCUUACUGGACCAAAACUGACGCUGAGGCUCGAAAGCGUGGGGAGCAAACAGGAUUAGAUACCCGAGUAGUCC